UAGGGAAUCUUCCGCAAUGGACGCAAGUCUGACGGAGCAACGCCGCGUGAGUGAAGAAGGUUUUCGGAUCGUAAAACUCUGUUGUAAGAGAAGAACAAAUUGUAGAGUAACUGCUACAGUCUUGACGGUAUCUUACCAGAAAGCCACGGCUAACUACGUGCCAGCAGCCGCGGUAAUACGUAGGUGGCAAGCGUUUUCCGGAUUUAUUGGGCGUAAAGGGGGCGCAGGCUGCUUCUUAAGUCUGAUGUGAAAGCCCACGGCUUAACCGUGGAAGUGCAUUGGAAACUGGGAAGCUUGAGUACAGAAGAGGAAAGGGGAACUCCAUGUGUAGCUGUGGAAUGCGUAGAGAUAUGGAAGAACACCAGUGGCGAAAGCGACUUUCUGGUCUGUCACUGACGCUGAGGCCCGAAAGCGUGGGUAGCAAACAGG
rnacentral:rRNA from 1 species